rnacentral:rRNA from 1 species
GUGGGGAAUCUUGCGCAAUGGGCGAAAGCCUGACGCAGCCAUGCCGCGUGAAUGAUGAAGGUCUUAGGAUUGUAAAAUUCUUUCACCGGGGACGAUAAUGACGGUACCCGGAGAAGAAGCCCCGGCUAACUUCGUGCCAGCAGCCGCGGUAAUACGAAGGGGGCUAGCGUUGCUCGGAAUUACUGGGCGUAAAGGGCGCGUAGGCGGACAGUUUAGUCAGAGGUGAAAGCCCAGGGCUCAACCUUGGAAUUGCAUUUGAUACUGGCUGUAUUGAGUGCGGGAGAGGUGAGUGGAACUCCGAGUGUAGAGGUGAAAUUCGUAGAUAUUCGGAAGAACACCAGUGGCGAAGGCGACUCACUGGCCCGUUACUGACGCUGAGGCGCGAAAGCGUGGGGAGCAAACAGGAUUAGAUACCCUGGUAGUCC